GCGGGAUAAGAAAUUGAAUCAAUAUAUAUUUACCAUCUCCAUGAAUAUUUAUUCCAAACUGGUUUGAUUCAACAGGACUGAGGAAAUUAACGCUGAAAGGUUUUCACAGAUUGUUGCACACCCAGCUUUCCAGCGAUCAAUAAUGCAAUCAUUUUAUUAUGUUUAUCACAACACGGCAAAUAAAGAUGAAAUCGUAAGAAGUGGGCAUUUGAAUAGUGGAACCAACUUCUGCUGCACACUUUUCCAAGGAGGCCUUCCAACACAAUCACCACACGGCCCACAACGAAUUAUAAUACGUAUCCGAGACAUCAUGACGUUGUUCGCUUCCCCACGUUUGUUCCUGAGGGAAACUGCAUCUACUGGAAACCAAACUCAUUACAACCUUGUUUUAACAGAUGGCACCAACCUUGGAGCAGCAGAAGAAUGCCCAAUCACGGAUAACGAUUAUCU
rnacentral:lncRNA from 1 species